GAGGAAAAGAAACCAACAGGGAUUGCCUCAGUAACGGCGAGUGAAGCGGCAAGAGCUCAAAUUUGAAAUCUAGUACCUUCGGUGCUCGAGUUGUAAUUUGAAGGUAGUUUUCUGGUGCUGGCCCUUGUCUAUGUUCCUUGGAACAGGACGUCAUAGAGGGUGAGAAUCCCGUCUGAUGGGGUGUCCAGUGCUUUGUAGAUUUCUACCGAAGAGUCGAGUUGUUUGGGAAUGCAGCUCUAAGUGGGUGGUAAAUUCCAUCUAAAGCUAAAUAUUGGCGAGAGACCGAUAGCGAACAAGUACAGUGAUGGAAAGAUGAAAAGAACUUUGAAAAGAGAGUGAAAAAGUACGUGAAAUUGUUGAAAGGGAAGGGUAUUGGAUCAGACUUGGUGUUUUGUGAUUAUCUUCCCUUCUUGGGUUGUGCACUCGCAUUUCACUGGGCCAGCAUCGAUUCGGAUGGUAAGAUAAUGGCUUGAGAACGUGGCACUCUUCGGGGUGUGUUAUAGCUCUUGUUGAUGUUGCCUAUCUGGAUCGAGGACUGCGGCUUCUGCCUAGGAUGCUGGCGUAAUGAUUCAAUACCGCCC
rnacentral:rRNA from 1 species